rnacentral:rRNA from 1 species
UUAAGCGACUAAGCGUACACGGUGGAUGCCCUGGCAGUCAGAGGCGAUGAAGGACGUGCUAAUCUGCGAUAAGCGUCGGUAAGGUGAUAUGAACCGUUAUAACCGGCGAUUUCCGAAUGGGGAAACCCAGUGUGAUUCGUCACACUAUCAUUAACUGAAUCCAUAGGUUAAUGAGGCGAACCGGGGGAACUGAAACAUCUAAGUACCCCGAGGAAAAGAAAUCAACCGAGAUUCCCCCAGUAGCGGCGAGCGAACGGGGAGCAGCCCAGAGCCUGAAUCAGUGUGUGUGUUAGUGGAAGCGUCUGGAAAGGCGCGCGAUACAGGGUGACAGCCCCGUACACAAAAAUGCACAUGCUGUGAGCUCGAUGAGUAGGGCGGGACACGUGGUAUCCUGUCUGAAUAUGGGGGGACCAUCCUCCAAGGCUAAAUACUCCUGACUGACCGAUAGUGAACCAGUACCGUGAGGGAAAGGCGAAAAGAACCCCGGCGAGGGGAGUGAAAAAGAACCUGAAACCGUGUACGUACAAGCAGUGGGAGCACGCUUAGGCGUGUGACUGCGUACCUUUUGUAUAAUGGGUCAGCGACUUAUAUUCUGUAGCAAGGUUAACCGAAUAGGGGAGCCGAAGGGAAACCGAGUCUUAACUGGGCGUUAAGUUGCAGGGUAUAGACCCGAAACCCGGUGAUCUAGCCAUGGGCAGGUUGAAGGUUGGGUAACACUAACUGGAGGACCGAACCGACUAAUGUUGAAAAAUUAGCGGAUGACUUGUGGCUGGGGGUGAAAGGCCAAUCAAACCGGGAGAUAGCUGGUUCUCCCCGAAAGCUAUUUAGGUAGCGCCUCGUGAAUUCAUCUCCGGGGGUAGAGCACUGUUUCGGCAAGGGGGUCAUCCCGACUUACCAACCCGAUGCAAACUGCGAAUACCGGAGAAUGUUAUCACGGGAGACACACGGCGGGUGCUAACGUCCGUCGUGAAGAGGGAAACAACCCAGACCGCCAGCUAAGGUCCCAAAGUCAUGGUUAAGUGGGAAACGAUGUGGGAAGGCCCAGACAGCCAGGAUGUUGGCUUAGAAGCAGCCAUCAUUUAAAGAAAGCGUAAUAGCUCACUGGUCGAGUCGGCCUGCGCGGAAGAUGUAACGGGGCUAAACCAUGCACCGAAGCUGCGGCAGCGACACUGUGUGUUGUUGGGUAGGGGAGCGUUCUGUAAGCCUGCGAAGGUGUGCUGUGAGGCAUGCUGGAGGUAUCAGAAGUGCGAAUGCUGACAUAAGUAACGAUAAAGCGGGUGAAAAGCCCGCUCGCCGGAAGACCAAGGGUUCCUGUCCAACGUUAAUCGGGGCAGGGUGAGUCGACCCCUAAGGCGAGGCCGAAAGGCGUAGUCGAUGGGAAACAGGUUAAUAUUCCUGUACUUGGUGUUACUGCGAAGGGGGGACGGAGAAGGCUAUGUUGGCCGGGCGACGGUUGUCCCGGUUUAAGCGUGUAGGCUGGUUUUCCAGGCAAAUCCGGAAAAUCAAGGCUGAGGCGUGAUGACGAGGCACUACGGUGCUGAAGCAACAAAUGCCCUGCUUCCAGGAAAAGCCUCUAAGCAUCAGGUAACAUCAAAUCGUACCCCAAACCGACACAGGUGGUCAGGUAGAGAAUACCAAGGCGCUUGAGAGAACUCGGGUGAAGGAACUAGGCAAAAUGGUGCCGUAACUUCGGGAGAAGGCACGCUGAUAUGUAGGUGAAGUCCCUCGCGGAUGGAGCUGAAAUCAGUCGAAGAUACCAGCUGGCUGCAACUGUUUAUUAAAAACACAGCACUGUGCAAACACGAAAGUGGACGUAUACGGUGUGACGCCUGCCCGGUGCCGGAAGGUUAAUUGAUGGGGUCAGCGCAAGCGAAGCUCUUGAUCGAAGCCCCGGUAAACGGCGGCCGUAACUAUAACGGUCCUAAGGUAGCGAAAUUCCUUGUCGGGUAAGUUCCGACCUGCACGAAUGGCGUAAUGAUGGCCAGGCUGUCUCCACCCGAGACUCAGUGAAAUUGAACUCGCUGUGAAGAUGCAGUGUACCCGCGGCAAGACGGAAAGACCCCGUGAACCUUUACUAUAGCUUGACACUGAACAUUGAGCCUUGAUGUGUAGGAUAGGUGGGAGGCUUUGAAGUGUGGACGCCAGUCUGCAUGGAGCCGACCUUGAAAUACCACCCUUUAAUGUUUGAUGUUCUAACGUUGACCCGUGAUCCGGGUUGCGGACAGUGUCUGGUGGGUAGUUUGACUGGGGCGGUCUCCUCCUAAAGAGUAACGGAGGAGCACGAAGGUUGGCUAAUCCUGGUCGGACAUCAGGAGGUUAGUGCAAUGGCAUAAGCCAGCUUGACUGCGAGCGUGACGGCGCGAGCAGGUGCGAAAGCAGGUCAUAGUGAUCCGGUGGUUCUGAAUGGAAGGGCCAUCGCUCAACGGAUAAAAGGUACUCCGGGGAUAACAGGCUGAUACCGCCCAAGAGUUCAUAUCGACGGCGGUGUUUGGCACCUCGAUGUCGGCUCAUCACAUCCUGGGGCUGAAGUAGGUCCCAAGGGUAUGGCUGUUCGCCAUUUAAAGUGGUACGCGAGCUGGGUUUAGAACGUCGUGAGACAGUUCGGUCCCUAUCUGCCGUGGGCGCUGGAGAACUGAGGGGGGCUGCUCCUAGUACGAGAGGACCGGAGUGGACGCAUCACUGGUGUUCGGGUUGUCAUGCCAAUGGCACUGCCCGGUAGCUAAAUGCGGAAGAGAUAAGUGCUGAAAGCAUCUAAGCACGAAACUUGCCCCGAGAUGAGUUCUCCCUGACUCCUUGAGAGUCCUGAAGGAACGUUGAAGACGACGACGUUGAUAGGCCGGGUGUGUAAGCGCAGCGAUGCGUUGAGCUAACCGGUACUAAUGAACCGUGAGGCUUAACCUU